GGGCAAUGUAUCAACAAAUUAGACAAUAUCAACAGGGAACGUAAGAAACAAAAACCAUGUGCGUCAUGUGUGGGCAAAGAUCUCAGGAGUAUAUUCGCAAGUAGAUGAUGGCUGAAAGUAAUUGACACAGCAUGGAGUGAUUUUAGAAACAUCUAGCGUCAAGUCAAUGAAUUGAAGAAAUUAAGAAUACUCGAUCCGCCAUUGAUUGCAAAAAUUUGAAUUUACGGCACAAAGUUCCAGAGAAAUGCAAAUAACUCCCUAACAAAAGUUAUUCGACAAUACAACAAAAAAACACACUUGGAAGUUGAUUUUUG